UACGUAGGGUGCGAGCGUUUGUCCGGAAUUACUGGGCGUAAAGAGCUUGUAGGUGGUUUGUCGCGUUGUUCGUGAAAUCUCACGGCUCAACUGUGAGCGUGCGGGCGAUACGGGCAGACUAGAGUACUGCAGGGAGACUGGAAUUCCUGGUGUAGCGGUGGAAUGCGCAGAUAUCAGGAGGAACACCGGUGGCGAAGGCGGAUCUCUGGGCCAUUACUGACGCUGGAGGAGCGAAAGCGUGGGGAGCGAACAGG
rnacentral:rRNA from 1 species